rnacentral:rRNA from 1 species
GUGUGAAUUGCAGAAUUCCGCGAAUCAUCGAGUCUUUGAACGCAAGUUGCGCCCGAGGCUUGUCCGAGGGCAUUUCCGCUAGAGCGUCACCGCGCUCCCCACCGACCCCCGCUACCAAGUGGUGAGGUCGAGUGGAAGUGGCCGUCCCGAUGGGAGGCGGCGGUGUUCUUCACCGCCGUCGAUCGGGUCGGCUGAAAUGUAUGGAAUUCGGCCGUCGUGGCGACGGAGCCCGCGAUCAGGUGAUCCGAGCGAGAGCCCGGAACUCAAACGUGCGUGGCUGCGUCGCCCAGUUGGGUUGGGUGUGGAUAUACCACUAUGAAAGAGCUGGCGCGAGUCGGCUUCGGUAAUACGGUUACACCAUGCGAAACGAGUUCCACUUGGGAUGUGAAAGCAGGUCUGCGUGUUCGGAAGAAAUCCUUCGUAAAAAAAAGGUGAGGACACGCGCGUCACGCAUCAGACCUCUAAUCGGAAAAGACUACCCGCUGAGUUUAA